rnacentral:rRNA from 1 species
UACGUAGGGUGCUAGCGUUGUUCGGAAUCAUUGGGCGUAAAGUGCGUGCAGGCUGUUAGUUAAGUCGGGUGUGAAAUCCCUGGGCUCAACCGAGGAAGUGCAUCCGAAACUAGCUAGCUAGAGAGUGGUAGAGGAAGGUGGAAUUCCAAGUGUAGAGGUGAAAUUCGUAGAUAUUUGGAGGAAUACCGGUGGCGAAGGCGGCCUUCUGGACCAUUUCUGACGCUGAGACGCGAAAGCGUGGGGAGCAAACAGG